AAUGCCCCGUCUCCCCAGGCCCCAGCCCCCACCGGACAAACCCUAGUCUCACCAAGCCCCACAUCUCGCGCUACUCCCUCCUCCAUUCUCGUUAGUCGCCGCCGCUGCCGUUGUGCCUCCCUCCUCUCUCCCCUACAACCACGUCCCCGGGAGGAAGCCGCCGUUCGUGGCGCCAUGCCGCUGCCGGGGUGUUGCGCACGUUUCGUUCCCCACAGCCCCUCCCCCAUCCUCGCUCAUCACCGCCGCUGCCUGCUACUCCCGGGGCGGCCGAGCGCCAACGGUGCGGCAAUGGCUGUUCCAGCAGGCGAGGGCGAGGGCGCAUGCGUUAGGCGUUGGGUGCGUGGACAAGGAGGGAGGAGUCAACUUGAGGGAGGAGAUGAGAGAGGUGAGGGUUGGCAGCGAUUGCAGGGAGAGGAGGAGUCUGGAGGCAACAGACGAUUUUUUAGGGUGGUCGGCGACCUACAGCCUACAGGGAACGUCCAUAGCAGCAGCAGGCGACCUGCAGCAGCUCCUUCCUACCUUCCAUGGACGAGCUCUUCGGAGACGCCGUCUAGCCCGACCACGGCAACGACUACCCCACGCACAAGAGGAAGGUUGAUUCAUUUGUAAAAUUCAUUCCACCGAAGCCAUCUGCUCCGUCCACCAACCCGCCCAGAAAGGUAGUUACAGUGAAUUGAUGUUCGCACUGAGGCCGGAGGCGAGAGUUGAGGGCACGGAGGUCGGUGGCAAGUGCUCAGGAGAGAAGAGGAAGGCGGCGGCGCUGGGCGGUGGCUGCGGUUUACACGAGAGGGAGGUGACCUGCCCAGAAAGGUAGUUACAGUGAAUUGAUGUUCAUAUGAACUUCAAUGAUGUGAACUUUUUAUUAGAUCUGAGUUGCAAUCCUCAAUUUUUUUAGGUUUGAGUAGCAAUGCUCCUUCUCUACUAGCUACGACAUUUUCCAUGCUUUUUCUUCUAAUAUCGUAUAGCGUCCAUGCCUGUGGGUUCAACUUGACAAGCUUUUUUCACCUUCCAUCCUGUUUUAAGCUCUGGGAUGAUUUCUUCCAUAUUUAUGGAGGGGGAGGACGCCAACUACUAGGAGAAGGAUCAGUUUAGCAAGUACAUGAUGUAAUUCUCUUAUGAUUAUGGGUAGAUGCCUCCUUUAUUUAGUUACCAGAGUUGUUCACUAUUGAAUAUGCAAAUUCAGCAUCCUUUAUAUAAUGGGACCUUAUGAACUCUUUUUGAAGAUUGCUGAGAAGCGCAACCUUUUGAUCUUCGAGAACCGCAAGUUUGCUGACAUUGAAAAUACAUUCAUUAUGCAAGACGAAUGGUGAGAAAUGUGUUAUUCCCUAUCCUUCCAUUCUAUUUGCAUAUUCGCGCAGUAUGCUUAGUUUUUUUCCUUUCAAGAUGAAUAUUCUACACAUGAGAGCAAUAUACUUGGUAUUAUUGAUGCUCAUAUAAUUCCUGGACCUGGAAUUGUUGAUGGCUUGAGGCUUAAAGUAUGUUAUGUGUUGCAUACCUAAUAAAUAUUAGAAAGCUAAUGUUGCAGCUUGACAGAUGCUGUGAUAACUUCUCCUUUUUUUGUUUGUUAAUAUCCACUUCGAACUGAGCAGCCAUGAUCCGGAUUUCCUCUAUGUAGCUAUGAGAUGCAUGUCGUUCGUUAUUGUGUAUCGUUUGCUAAAAUAUUGAUUAUUUGACAAUGAACACAUGGCAAUGCCUUAACUAUUCAACUUGCCUAGCUCAGAAUUUUAACCAAUAGAGAAGUUUUUUUGUUGCUUUCCCUUUUGUUAGAUAUUUUGCUUUUUGUAUGUUGAGGGGAGAUGGAUAUGGCCUCAGGACUAAACGCACAGACCACAUGAAGUGAUCUGAUGGAAGGUAAAGUAUUUUUUAUUGGCAAUGCUAAUGUCUGGACCAUCUCAAUGGUUUUAACUCUAUGAUGUUCAGUUUAGCAUAUCACAUGUACAAAUGCAUAUAUACAAAUUGUGGUAGGCAACUCACUAUUUAGACGACGCGACUAUUCUAUUGAUAAGGAGGGUCCCACCAUACUCAUGUGAGAGUUAGGCGUGGUAGUGGGUAGUAUUUUCUCAUCAUCCAUUAUGUGUUUCUUCUGUCUAGCUCGAAGUUGCUUAGUUAGAUAAUGAUUCGCAAAUUCCAGCAUUGCAUGUUGCCUGACACUUUUGCAUUAGCAUUGAAUUGCAGCCUGCAUUUUUGUAGCCCGCGAGGCGUGUAAAUGUUGGACUAUUGUUUCUCCGCUGAUGCACAUGUUUCGCCACAGAGACAGUACUCUCUGUGUGUGUGAUCUCUGGAAUGAGUUUUUAUGUUUCUCUGUGUUGAGUACUUUUGUAAUCUCCACGGGUGUGUUUCGUAUUUUCUAUGUAUCCUCUGUCAUUCUUUUAAGUGAUUAAUGUUUUCUUUUGUAGUUUUUGAUAUUUAGGUGCAGUCACGUUUCAUUUGUCACAGACCUGUACCCGUUAGGAAAAUCAUAGUUUCAUUUUGAUCAUGUUUCUUUAAGUUGUUCAGUGUUUGUUCAUUAUGUAGUAGAGUAAGAAGUACAUUUUGUCCAUCAGUUAAAUCACUCAUGUCACAUUCAGUUUAUUGAUUUGGUUUAGUUUUUGUUCCUUUCUCUUCGUUCCUUCAGUUUUUUGUUCCUUUAUUUAGUCAUUGUGCUUGCAUCAUUUGCCAGUAUUUUAGUCCAUCUCAAUAGACCCCUAUGAUUCUUGAUAGUUUAUCUCUUUCAUAGAUCAGACUUUUCCACUUUGUUAGUUAGUCUAAUUUAUGCUUUUUUCAAUUUUUAGUCUUUACAUGAUUUAGUUGGACAGUGUGUUUGGUAUUUCAAUAGUUCAGUAGUUUCAUACUUUCAUUUAAUUAAAUAGUCUUGUUUUUAGUCUCAGUACUUCAGGUUUAGUUUCCAAACAAGUACUUUUUUACUCAUGUGGUUUUCGGUCUUUUGACUAUAUGUGGUUUUCAAUCUUUUCAUCUCUUGGUUUACUUGUCAUUCUUAAUUUAUCCGCCUUACUAUUCUCAGUCUUGUUUUUUAUUGAGAGACACAACCUUUUCAAUACACUUCUAUUUUAAUUUUUCAUAACAACGGCUGUUUUUUUGUUUCAACUUUGACUCUAUGCUAUUAAAGUAAACCGAGUAUAUUAAAAUAAACCAACUAUAUUCAUAUAUGCCUCAGUAAUUGGUACAACCGAUUUUUAUUGAGAGAGACAACAUUUCAAAACACUUCUAUCUUCAUUUUUCAUACCAACGAAUAUUUUUGUGCUAACAUGUGAGUUAAUUAUUUGGAAAAAAUAUAAUCAUAUAUGUAUUGCCAACAAUUUUUAUGUUUAAAACAACCAAUUUUGUGAAAAGAGUGGAGAGAAAGAUACAUGUGCAAUUUCUUGAUGUUACAGCGGAUGGAUACUCGAUCUUUAAACAUAAGCACAGAUGAAUAGGUACAAAUUCGAGGAAAGGCCAAUGAAAUAGUUGUCUGUACACAUAUGUGCCAGUUUUAUACCUGGUUGUCUGGUUGCAUUAUUUGUCUGGUUUCAAUUCAGUUUGAGUAGAUUGUUAUCUGUGAGCGAUACUUGCUACUAUUUGCACCCAUGCACCAAUUUGCAUACCUAUUUUAGGCACAGAAACCAACCAUGACUGAAAAUCAUGUAUAUAUAAUUUACUAUGAUUCAUGGUGAGAAAAUCAUGAUUUAAUAAACGAAAGGUGGUUUGUUUUGCUAACAGUACUGAGUAUAAAUGUAAAUCGCAGAUCGUACGCUGCUGCUACGGGCUCCAUGUUGUUUAUGCUAGACAACACAACGGUGCUUGUGUUAUCUAUAGUUGAAGUCGCAAUUUAAUAUUCUUUGAUUUAUGCUUGUGUUAUAUGUGGUUGAAGGGACAUCCUUGUUAGUUUGCAUGGUCUAUGUAAGAAGGGGCAGUACAAUGCUUGUCAAGUUUGUUUAUAUUCUGAUGGCUGUUGAAUUCUGGACAAUGGAGACGUGAAUUUGUUACAUACAUAGGUACUAGGCAUAGGAUACUUUACACAUUGAUGACAUGUAGUUUUAGAGAACUUCUGAAAAUUCCAAUUCAGGUUUUCUGUGUUCCAUUCAGGAAGAACACAUAGUCUGCACUGGGGUAUAAAAUUAUCUACUACUUACCUUUGUGUCUCGACAUAUGCUUGUGAUGCAUCGUGCUGCCAGAGGCCAACAUUAUCCAGUAUCAUAGUGAUGCUAAAAAUGCCUAUUGGUUACUCCGCAUAUUCUCAUCUGAUUUCUCAUAUAUAGAUAUUAAUUUCCUUUCAUGGGAGGCCUUCAUUACAUUUCAGCGGCGGUUGCGGAUGUGAUUGGCGGUUGAGGGAGGGUCUCCGACUAGAGCAGCAGGAGCAAGGUGCUCGAGGAAGUUUAGAUUUGCCUCUACAUCCUCUCUCUUUCCUCCACUUUGUUCUUGCAUUUAGAUGAUACAAUUUGUGAUCAUGUGUAUGUGCAUUUAUGAGAUCUUUGCUGCUAGGCACAGAGUUUAUGGUUACUGAAAUUGGGUAAUAGAACAUGGUUGUUGUGCCUUUUUCCCUUGUUCUUUUGAAAUGCAACAUGACAGUAGCCAAUGUCAUGUAUCAGGGUUGUAAACCUAUUAGAUUUGGGAUAGAGGAAAGUAUGAAGAUCUUCUUAUUAUUGCAAAGUAAAAGUUGAUAUUAGUGCAAACUUAGGUGAUCUGGUCCGAAGGGGUAUCUCAGCUUUAUGAGUUGAUAGUAUAUUUGCGUCUAAGAAUAAACCUUAGCUUUUAGAUAGACUUUAUGAGUGAAAGUAUUCUGGUGUAUACCAUCCUUUGUGCAGGAUUGUCAUGGUUAUUGUGUAUGUCAAUUUUGUUGACAAAAUAUAUCCAAAUGAUAUCUUUUUCGGUGUCUUAUGGUAGAUAUAUUUGGUCCGCUGUUUCAUGCAUCCUUCGGGUUUAUGAUUAAUAUUCCCAGAUAUUUGAACAAAAUUUAGCUAUUAAAUAUACAUCCCAGGAAAUUUACAUUAUUACAGUGGGGCACUCCUUUGCACGGUUUUCAGAAUAAGAGAUUUAACCUUUUUUGCAGUAUCAUUCUCCCUGACGGAUUACAUGUAGGUUGUUGUUCUAAUUACAAGCAAGCUUUCAGCUCAUGGUUGUUAUAUUUUUGUAUUUUCCAUAGGACAAUUUUCUGGAUUAAUAUCUAUACUUGAGAUCUAGGAGUCCACCCGAAUUCAGUCUCCAAGAAGCCGUUCAUCCAGGAUCCACCAAAAUUCAAAUGAUAUGUGAAAAGCGUGUGCUAGAUGUGGCCCCUAUCCAGCGUUUUGAUCUGUCCACUCAGGUGCUUUUGUCUAGGUGGUAACACAACAAGCUGCUUAUCUUAUAGAAACUUAUCAUACGUACAGUCCUAUGUUCGUUCUUCUUGCAUGUUAGAGAAAGAGCUUUUGCCCCUAUGUGAGUAAUCCUAUGGGAAUUAGCAACGUUGGCUGUACUUUCAAGCAGGCUGAAUCCGAUGCAAGUUUUUGGAGCAGUUGGGUUCCAGAACAAACGACUAGGUAUUCCCAAAGAAGUCAUUCCACUGGUGGCUAGCAUAAUAUCUUCAUGUCGGGACAACGAUCCAAGCAAGCAACCAUCAUUCUACCAGCUCUUGUCAUCGCUGAAGAAAUUACAGUGGUUACAUUGUUACAGAAAGCCUAUGACAAUUUGCGAGUGUUGUUUGUGCAAUAUACUGGUUUUAUGGCAGGUGCACGUAUGAAUUCAGAUGGUAGUGGUCUCCUUCUUUACAGUUAUAAGAAUAAUAAAAAUAUUGAUAAUGGUCUUUCCA